rnacentral:rRNA from 1 species
UUGUACGAAACUUUAUCGUAGCGAACGGGUGAGGAAUAUGCAAUUUUUUAUUUUUUACCCGAUAAAUCAUUUGUCUGGUAUAAUUAAUUAAACUUUGAUGUAAUGCCGACGCUAAUAUUUUAUAUUAGACAACAAAGUUUAAGAUAAAAAUCUACCUUUUAAUUCAAAAUAAACUAUACCUGUUAAAAUUUUUGAUUUUUAUAGGGCAAACGUACUCUGUAUCUUAUAGUAAUAUUGAAUAAUAAAUUUAUAUAAUUUAUAUUAAAAAGCUUUAUCUAUUGAGAUUUUAAUUCUGUAUAAAGCGUUAAAAGAUGAGUUUGUGUAAGAUUAGGUUGUUGGUAGAAAUAACAGUUUACCAAGCCUUUGAUCUUUAGUUGGUCUUAGAGGACGUACAACCACACUGGAACUGAGACAAGGUCCAGGCUAUUUUUG